rnacentral:lncRNA from 1 species
ACUUCCUGAGCAUGGCCGGGUCAUCCCUUCACAGCCUGAGCACAAGGUUGAAUCUCCUGCAUGCUGUUUAGCCUACUCCUCUGCUCUCCUCCUGGGGAAAUUCCAAGGUAGAAGGUGCUCUGAUCACCUGACAAUGCCACAUUGCCUUCCAGCUAAAUGUUCUAAAGGAGCAUGCCCUUCACCAGCAGAAACAGAAGGGCCACCGCUGAAGACCAAAGCAGCCCC